GAAACUACACCCUCUUCAACAACAUCAAUGCAAACUAAUGGAUGUUUGAGAUUAGGAGCCUGUUUCCAAGCUUGUGCUCUCGCAAAUUUGNAAUAUCUCCCUCGCUUCUCCGAGGGAAUCUAACUUGUCAGUCCUGUAAAGACUAGCAACCCGUGGCUUCCUACAUUCCAAGAUAUCAAGGGCCCAUUGACGUGCAGUGUUCACCUGGUGAAACUACAGAAUCCACAAGGCCCAAAGCAUGAGCUUCUUCACCUUUAACUGGUUUUGAUGUCAACAUCAUUUCAAGAGCCUUUGUUAUACCAACAAGACGUGGAAGCCUCUGUGUUCCUCCAAAACCAGGAAUUAUUCCGAGUUGAAGUUCAGG
rnacentral:misc_RNA from 1 species